rnacentral:rRNA from 1 species
AGAGUUUGAUUCUGGCUCAGAACGAACGCUGGCAGCGUGGAUUAGGCAUGCAAGUCGAACGAUAUCCAGGAUAUCCAAGUAGCAAAAUGAGGAUAUACUGGUGACAGUGGCGGAAGGGUGAGGAACACGUGGGCAAUCUGCCUUUAAGUUGGGGACAACCCCGCGAAAGUGGGGCUAAUACCGGAUGUGAAGUCCCGAUGAUUUCGGGAUUUUUGAAGACGGGGAUCCUUCGGGACCUGUCGCUUGAAGAGGAGCCCGCGUCCUAUCAGCUUGUUGGUGAGGUAACGGCUCACCAAGGCGAUGACGGGUAGCUGGUCUGAGAGGAUGGUCAGCCACACUGGGACUGAGACACUGCCCAGACUCCUACGGGAGGCUGCAGUCGAGGAUCAUUCGCAAUGCGCGAAAGCGUGACGAUGCGACGCUGCGUGGAGGAUGAAGGCCUUCGGGUCGUAAACUCCUGUCAUUCGGGAACAAUGAUUCCGCCGUUAAUGACGGCGGGAAGUGAUAGUACCGGAAGAGGAAGCCACGGCCAACUCUGUGCCAGCAGCCGCGGUAAUACAGAGGCGGCGAGCGUUGUUCGGAAUUACUGGGCGUAAAGGGUGCGUAGGUGGUCUCGUAUGUCGGAUGUGAAAUCCCACUGCUCAACGGUGGAACUGCAUUCGAAACUGCGAGACUGGAGUGCAGGAGAGGAGAGCGGAAUUCUUGGUGUAGCGGUGGAAUGCGUUGAUAUCAAGAAGAACACCGGUGGCGUAGGCGGCUCUCUGGAAUGCAACUGACACUGAGGCACGAAAGCGUGGGGAGCAAACAGGAUUAGAUACCCUGGUAGUCCACGCCCUAAACGGUGUACACUUGGUGUGGGGAGAUUUGACCCUCUCCGUGCCGGAGCUAACGCGUUAAGUGUACCGCCUGGGAAGUACGGUCGCAAGAUUAAAACUCAAAGAAAUUGACGGGGGCCCGCACAAGCGGAGGAGCAUGUGGCUUAAUUCGAUGCAACGCGAAGAACCUUACCAGGGUUUGACAUGCAGCUGCACGUCCUAUGAAAGUAGGAUUCCUUCGAGGGUGCUGCACAGGUGCUGCAUGGCUGUCGUCAGUUCGUGCCGUGAGGUAUUAGGUUAAGUCCUGCAACGAACGCAACCCCUGUGGUUAGUUGCUAAUCCCGGUGAUGAAUCGGGAUGCACUCUAGUCAGACUGCCCGUGAUAAGCGGGAGGAAGGUGGGGAUGACGUCAAGUCAGUAUGGCCUUUAUACCCUGGGCUGCACGCGUGCUACAAUGGCCGGUACAGAGGGAAGCGAAGCCGCAAGGUGGUGCAAAUCCCAUAAAACCGGCCUCAGUUCGGAUUGAAGUCUGCAACUCGACUUCAUGAAGUUGGAUUCGCUAGUAAUGGCGCAUCAGCUACGGCGCCGUGAAUACGUUCCCGGGCCUUGUACACACCGCCCGUCACAUCAUGAAAGCCGUCUGCACCCGAAGUCGCUGAUCCAACCCGCAAGGGAGGUAGGCGCCGAAGGUGUGGGUGGUGAUUGGGAUGAAGUCGUAACAAGGUA